CUUCACUGAAUGCUCUAUUUCCUUCGACAACCCUCAGCUGAGCUCCCAUCCCUCCACCACUCCGGAGAGCCAGGAAUGCUGCCGGGACAUCAAGGUGCUGGGACGCAAGGAGCUCCGGCUUCUGCUGUCCUGGAGGGGGAAGCUACGCAGGUUCCUGGCCAAAAAACUGAAGGACGAG